rnacentral:rRNA from 1 species
UUGUCUUUUAAAUAAAGACCAGUAUGAAUGGCAAGACGAAAGUUUAACUGUCUCCCUAAAUUAAUCAAUGAAAUUGAUCUUCCCGUGCAGAAGCGGGAAUAAAAUUAUAAGACGAGAAGACCCUAUGGAGCUUUAAAUACAUGAUCAAUUGCAUAAUAUUAACCCCGAAAGAUAUAAAAUAAAAUAAAGCAUAAUGAUCAAAAUUUUAGGUUGGGGCGACCACGGAGAAAAAUAAAACCUCCGAGAUGAAGAGAAUAUCUUAAUUUAUGAGUUACAAUUCUAAAAAAUAAAAUAUUUAACAUAAUUGAUCCAAUAUUUUUGAUCAACGAACUAAGUUACCCUAGGGAUAACAGCGCAAUCCUUUCCAAGAGUUCCUAUCGACGAAUGGGUUUACGACCUCGAUGUUGGAUCAGGACACCCCAAUGGUGCAGCCGCUAUUAAAGGUUCGUUUGUUCAACGAUUAAAGU